UAUGAAUAAUUAAAGGUGAAAACCUUUAUGUUUAAUUUGACAAUCAUGCAUCCAUUAGUGUAUAUGUAUUUUAUUUACUUCAAAAGUUUACAUCGUCCGCCUUUGUUUACGUAAUUAUACAUGUGCAGGACUUUUAUUUUUCGAAAUGAAUACAUGUAGUUCAAAUACAAGAAAAAAAUCCACAUCCUUACUUAACAUAAAGAAAAAAUUAAGUUAUUCAUAGUUCAAACGGACGUAAUCACUUAUUAAAAUUAAUUUACAUUUUGUUGUUUUUGUUGUGCGUAACUCCAAAACAGUAUAAUUAAGUCAUUUUCACAUUAAAAGAUAGAGGCAGCCAUUUCGUAGACUUGUGACUUUAAUUGGACUUAUCAGUGGUACUAAUCGAAUUGAACAAGGAUGAGGGCUUAUAUACUUAUUUCUUUUGUGUUAUUAUCCCCCAUGUUGAUGACGUCAGAAGGCAAUCGAGUGACAGUUAAGUGUAAAGCUAAGUGUUUGGAUAACUACAACGUGUGCGCAAGUGCCUGCAGAAAUGUUUUCUUUGACAUGCCAGAAACUUGUGAAGGAAGGCAAUGUCGUAUCCCAAACAAAAAAAAUGCAUGAACAAAUUAUAUCAAGUUUGUGAAUAAAUCUGUAAUAAA